CCUACGGGAGGCUGCAGUGAGGAAUAUUGGUCAAUGGGCGCGAGCCUGAACCAGCCAAGUCGCGUGAGGGAGGACGGCCCUACGGGUUGUAAACCUCUUUUGCCGGGGAGCAACGUGCGUCACGUGUGGCGCCACUGAGAGUACCCGGAGAAAAAGCAUCGGCUAACUCCGUGCCAGCAGCCGCGGUAAUACGGAGGACGCGAGGGUUAUCCGGAUUGAUUGGGUUAAAAGGGUGCUUAGGCGGAUCGUUAGGUCAGUGGUCAAAUUGAGGGGCUCAACCCCUUCCCGCCAUUGAAACUGGCGCUCUUGAGUGGAAGAGAGGUAUGCGGAAUGCGUGGUGUAGCGGUGAAAUGCAUAGAUAUCACGCAGAACCCCGAUUGCGAAGGCAGCAUGCCGGCUUCCGACUGACGCUGAGGCACGAAAGCGUGGGGAUCGAACAGGAUUAGAUACCCUGGUAGUC
rnacentral:rRNA from 1 species